rnacentral:rRNA from 1 species
GAUGAACGCUGGCUACAGGCUUAACACAUGCAAGUCGAGGGGAAACGACGGGGAAGCUUGCUUCCCCGGGCGUCGACCGGCGCACGGGUGAGUAACGCGUAUCCAACCUGCCUCUGACUGAGGGAUAACCCGUCGAAAGUCGGCCUAAUACCUCAUGGCAUCGUCUGCGGGCAUCCAACGACGAUUAAAGAUUUCAUCGGUCAGGGAUGGGGAUGCGUCUGAUUAGCUUGUUGGCGGGGUAACGGCCCACCAAGGCUACGAUCAGUAGGGGUUCUGAGGGGAAGGUCCCCCACAUUGGAACUGGGACACGGUCCAAACUCCUACGGGAGGCAGCAGUGAGGAAUAUUGGGCAAUGGGCGGGAGCCUGAACCAGCCAAGUAGCGUGCAGGAUGACGGCCCUAUGGGUUGUAAACUGCUUUUAUGCGGGGAUAAAGUGAGGGACGUGUCCUUCAUUGCAGGUACCGCAGGAAUAAGGACCGGCUAAUUCCGU